GACGAACGCUGGCGGCGUGCCUAAUACAUGCAAGUCGAGCGAUGAAGCUUGGUGCUUGCACCCAUUUGAAGAGCAGCGAACGGGUGAGUAACGCGUGGGGAAUCUGCCUUUGAGCGGGGGACAACAUUUGGAAACGAAUGCUAAUACCGCAUAACAACUUUAAACAUAAGUUUUAAGUUUGAAAGAUGCAAUUGCAUCACUCAAAGAUGAUCCCGCGUUGUAUUAGCUAGUUGGUGAGGUAAAGGCCCACCAAGGCGAUGGUACAUAGCCGACCUGAGUGGGUGGUCGGCCACAUUGGGACUGAGACACGGCCCAAACUCCUCCGGGAGGCAGCAGUAGGGAAACUUCGGCAAUGGGCGGAAGUCUGACCGAGGAAAGCCGGGUGGGUGGAGAAGGGUUUCGGGUCGUAAAACUCUGUUGGUAGGGAAGAAAGUUGGUGAGAGUGGAAAGCUCAUCAAGUGACGGUAACUACACAGAAAGGAACGGCUAACUACGUG
rnacentral:rRNA from 1 species